rnacentral:rRNA from 1 species
AGUAAAAGUCGUAACAAGGUUUCCGUAGGUGAACCUGCGGAAGGAUCAUUAUCGAGUUUUGAACGGGUUGUCUGCUGGCUCGCAAGGGCAUGUGCACGCCUGUCUCAUCCACUCUCAACUUCUGUGCACUUUUCAUAGGCCGGCUUGUGGGUGCGUUCGCGCACUUGUAGGUGUCGGGCUUAUGCUUUACUACAAACGAUUCAGUUUUAGAAUGUCAUACUUUGCUAUAACGCAAUUUAUAUACAACUUUCAGCAACGGAUCUCUUGGCUCUCGCAUCGAUGAAGAACGCAGCGAAAUGCGAUAAGUAAUGUGAAUUGCAGAAUUCAGUGAAUCAUCGAAUCUUUGAACGCACCUUGCGCUCCUUGGUAUUCCGAGGAGCAUGCCUGUUUGAGUGUCAUGGUAUCAUCAACCUUCAACACUUUUGUGUCUGUAGGCUUGGACUUGGAGGUCGUGUCGGCGUUCGCGUCGGCUCCUCUGAAAUGCAUUAGCGUGAAUCUUACGAAUCGCCCUCGGUGUGAUAAUUUCUACGCCGUAGACGUGCAGUAUAUAGUGUUCGUGCUUACAACCGUCUGCAAAGACAACAUCAUUGACAAUCUGACCUCAAAUCAGGUAGGACUACCCGCUGAACUUAAGCAUAUCAAUAAGCGGAGGA